rnacentral:rRNA from 1 species
AUACUGAGGGUGCAAGCGUUAAUCGGAAUUACUGGGCGUAAAGCGAGUGUAGGCGGCUUCGUAAGUCAGAUGUGAAAUCUCGGGGCUCAACCCCGAAACUGCGUCUGAAACUGAUUAUCUAGAGUCCUGGAGGGGGAAGGAGAAUUUCGCAUGUAGGGGUAAAAUCCGUAGAGAUGCGAAGGAAUACCAGUGGCGAAGGCGCCUUCCUGGACAGAUACUGACGCUGAGGCGCGAAAGCGUGGGGAGCAAACAGGAUUAGAUACCCCGGUAGUCC